UUUCUGGGGAAUGAAGUCUAGGGUUAAAAAUCUCCAUUUCUACAUUUCUGUAAACCUCAAAAUUCCUUAGACUUAUAAAUGUUGGAAAUUUCACCAUUGGGAUAUUUCAUACUUGGGAAAAUUUCUUACUGAUAGUCUAUUGGAAUGGGAACCCCAUUGGCAUGGGAGGUUCCUUCUCUUCCCUUCUUAAGAUUACUUUAGGACAGAAACCUUUUGCUGAACAAUGGUACUGAUAGUCUAUUGGAAUGGGAACCCCAUUGGCAUGGGAGGUUCCUUCUCUUCCCUUCUUCAGAUUACUUUAGGACAGAAACCUUUUGCUGAACAAUGGAAAGGUCUUUGACCUAUGCUUAAGCAUAGAACAGGAAUUUCUUUGAGUCAUGAUUGAUUUUAGAAUUGAUACAAUGGAGAUACAUGGAAUCAAUCUCCACCCUAUUCAGUCCUAACAGGAUUGAGUAAGGGCUGCAGCCUAGAUCAAAAUUUAAUUAUUCCAAUCUCUACCCUACUCAGGUUAACAGGAUUUAGAAAGGGCUGUAGCAAAGGAGCAAAGAUUUAAUCAUUUGAAAAUAUGACCUUCAACAGACAUGUGCAAAGCCUCUGGGCAGUCCUGGGUUAAGCUAGAGCCUCCAUUGGCACAGGGAAAUUGAUGGACAGUGAUUGGUAGAUGUGAGAACUGAGGGGAGGCAACUUGGAUGGUUUCCUUAAAGAUCAGGGGGGUCUGGAGACUCAGGGGUGGUUGAGGAGUUGAUCAGAGUGGUGGCAGUGGACUCUGAGAAGCUUGCUCUGAAGGAAGCUGAAGGUGGGGGCCCCGGAGACUGUUUCUCCAUUUUGGUCACGUGAGUAAUAGGGACUGAUCUCUUUUCUUUGCCCCAGCUAUCUAAGGGCUUGGGCCUUUUGGCCCAGCCUAAACAGAAGGGGUAUUUAAGCCCUAUUCCUUUCUCUCCCUUUUUCUCUCUCUCUAUCUCUAAUUCCUUUCUUCCUCCUAUUGUAAUUAAACUCCAUAAAAGAUUGACU
rnacentral:lncRNA from 1 species